GUGAAGACCAGGAGACUUCGGGUUGUAUCUUCAGCAGGAUUCUUUUAUUGAGAACACAAGCUGUCGGUAGCUGUAGUCAUCGAAAAUCUAAAUCUAAAGCAGUGAUACAUUGUAGUUUAUAUACAUUUAGGGGGCAGUGCUUAGGAGUGAAAACAAAGCACCUGGGUGACGACCUUUAAGCAUGCAAAUGAGGUAUUCAGGUAUAGAAUCCUGCCCCAUUUAACCACUCCUAAUCUAAUCAGCCUAACUGCCCAAAGAUUGGGGCAGGGGCAUCAAGAGCAAUUACAAACAAAAGGCAAGAGUCUCCGUCGUCUGGCUCAUUAGACUUACAAUAAGAGAACAGGAACUGGCAGGGACCUCUUGAAUCGUUCAUCUGAUGUCAUCAUCUUCACCAUAAAUGCUAAAUACAAUGUAUAUAACUUCUUCAGUUUGUACACUAUUACAUUGGAAUCUAAAUUAAACAUUUAAAUAAAUUUGUAAUCCCACAUAUGUUACGCCAUUAACUAUGGAAGCCCGUUCCCGCCACCUUGAGAAAAAAUAUAAUUCUGUAAGUCAUAAUAAUGAGAUAAUUAUGACUUUGUUUCUCAUUAUAUUCAGAAAAUUUCUCGUGAUAAUGACUUAGUUUUUCAUAAUAAUGACUUAGUUUCUCGUAAUAAUGAGAAACGUUCUCGAAAUAAUGAGAAACUUUCUCAUAAUAAUGACUUAGUUUCUCGUAAUAAUAACUUAGUUUCUCGUAAUAAUGAGAAACUUUCUCGAAAUAAUGAGAAACUUUCUCGUAAUUGUCACAAAGCAAGGCCAGAGACAACAGGUAAGUGACAAACAGGAUGGUUUAUUGAAGGGGAAUUGGGAAACUGGAAUGGGAGAGGCAAAAGUCAGGUGAGUGAGCAAAACUGUGUAGGAUUCAGAGUGCUUAGCUGUGAUCGUGCUGACGUGUUUCUUUUGUAGGUUGGUGGGGGAUCUUGUAGCAUGAACAACAGGAUUCGUAGGAGGAUCGGCUGAGAGAGUCCAAGGGAAAGUAUUCCAGGUGGCGGAACGGGGCUUCCAUAAUUAACUCCAAACGUUCACUGAAUCGAGACACGCUGUGCUGAGAGAGCUGAUGAAUACGAACAGCUGAUACUGAGAAUGAGUGUUCUACCGCCGAGGUUCUCGGAUCUCCAGUACACUGUGAAUUUGGCGAAAUUUUGACUUUUUAGCAGGAUCAGUACAGUCAGUGCAAGCAGAGUGGAAGCACAACUCCAUAUCGAUGAGGCAAGAUUUGUAGAUUUUCCUCGCCCAACCAACCAGCAUACCCUAAUCACACACUACAAGCUGAAACACUGC